rnacentral:SRP_RNA from 1 species
CCGGGGAAACCGGGCGGCAUGAGCGCUGCCAACCCCGCCAGGCCCGAAAGGGAGCAACGGUAACAGUUGCUCUUGGGCGCCUGGUUUCCCUCGAAA